GCCGGAAGCCGGUGGGUUUGCGCUCUGAAGGCGCAGGCGCGCGAGUGAGACAGGCGGCCCCAGCCCGGGUUCCGGGGAGCUGCGCCCUAAGACGACUGGAGCUCACGGUCCUUGCAAGCUGGGUUUCGCCAGACCGCCGGAGUGUGGAUCAGGCUGACAUGCAAGACAGUGUUUGAAUCAUCUGGUGAGCAUCCUGGAACAGGCUGUGGUGUGAUCCAUGCCAUCAGGACGUCUGGUCUGUGCAGAGUGUGGUGACAUUUGCUCUGUGUUCAACAGAGGCUUUUUAAACUGCUUGGCAGUAUGUGCACUGUCAUCUCAUCUGAGAUAUGCAUACAAACUCUGAGUAGUACCCAAAGGAAAUGUUAUUAGACGUGCAAAAUCUGUGGAAAUGAUCAAUGACUGACAUAUGUCCAGAGUGUUGCUCUAUCAAGUCAGGGUGCACUCUUGGUGGCAGCAGUCGCAAAAGGUAUAUCCAGAAGACGGAUCAUCACUGCCUAAGGGCAAACAAUUGUGUAGGGAUUUCUUUUUCAGCCAAAACUUACUCCCUGGUCCUUGGAUGAUGUUUAUACAAGUGUUAUAUUUGUAAGUUGUUACAUUAUACAUUUAUAUUUUGGGUACCUUUAUGUGUAUUACCUUUUACAAUUAAAAACAAAUACAAAGGUU